GGAAUAUUGGACAAUGGGCGCAAGCCUGAUCCAGCCAUGCCGCGUGAGUGAUGAAGGCCCUAGGGUUGUAAAGCUCUUUCAGUGGUGAAGAUAAUGACGGUAACCACAGAAGAAGCCCCGGCUAACUUCGUGCCAGCAGCCGCGGUAAUACGAAGGGGGCUAGCGUUGUUCGGAUUUACUGGGCGUAAAGCGCACGUAGGCGGAUUGGUCAGUUAGAGGUGAAAUCCCGGAGCUCAACUCCGGAACUGCCUUUAAUACUGCCAAUCUUGAGUCCGGAAGAGGUAAGUGGAAUUCCUAGUGUAGAGGUGGAAUUCGUAGAUAUUAGGAAGAACACCAGUGGCGAAGGCGGCUUACUGGUCCGGUACUGACGCUGAGGUGCGAAAGCGUGGGGAGCGAAC
rnacentral:rRNA from 1 species